AUUGAACGCUGGCGGCAUGCUUUACACAUGCAAGUCGAACGGUAACAGGCCGCAAGGUGCUGACGAGUGGCGAACGGGUGAGUAAUGCAUCGGAACGUGCCCAGUCGUGGGGGAUAACGCAGCGAAAGCUGCGCUAAUACCGCAUACGAUCUAUGGAUGAAAGCGGGGGACCGUAAGGCCUCGCGCGAUUGGAGCGGCCGAAGUGAGAUUAGGUAGUUGGUGGGGUAAAGGCUCACCAAGCCAACGAUCUGUAGCCGGUCUGAGAGGAAGACCAGCCACACUGGGACUGGAACCCGGCCCAGACUCCUACGGGGGGCAGCAGUGGGGAAUUUUGGACAAUGGGCGCAAGCCUGAUCCAGCAAUGCCGCGUGCAGGAAGAAGGCCUUCGGGUUGUAAACUGCUUUUGUACGGAACGAAACGGUCCUGGUUAAUACCUGGGGCUAAUGACGGUACCGUAAGAAUAAGCACCGGCUAACUACGUGCCAGCCGCCGCGGUAACAC
rnacentral:rRNA from 1 species